UGUGUUUGUAGCUAGGUUGCCUCUCUUGGGUGAUAUGAUUUUUUUUGCGGUUUCUCAUAAACUGCAGUGUGUUAUGCAGAUGGAAAAAGCAUUCAGGUUCUGCAUCCUGCCCAGCAGGUUAUUUGUUAUGACACAAGAACUUUAUUAUGGUUUUUGAUAAAAGAAAUAUGGACUUCGAAAUAGCUUGAAGGUUAUCGAUUAUAUGUAGCAAGGCCAUUUGAUUAAGUUGGCUCUUUCUUGACACCAUUUUCUAUGCAACUAUUUGAAUACAUAUUUUCCAAAACAAAGUACAUAAGUGUGUUUGGGUGUGGCCCAGAUUAAACAUCUCACAUUUUGUUUCAGAAAUCAUCUCUACUUAAGUCCAAGAGGUCACCAGGUGAAGGGAUGGAUAAACUAUUAGGUUGCAUUAAUUUGGAGCUAUGAAACUGGUAAAAGGAUUAUAGUUGCUGCAACUCCUAGGGUCAAGGUUUGUUCCACAUUUCUAUAAUUUUAUUUAUAUUUGUACUAAUUUAUCACAUAUCAUGCAUCUUUUCUCCUUUAGACUAAUUAUUACAGUAGAAUAUAUUGGCCAAUAGACUGCCAUUCUCACCUUUGGUAUUGCAUCUUUUUUCUUGACAGCCUGUUACAUUGGAACUUGGUGAAGAUGUCGUAUUUGAGUAUGUUGACAUUGACAAAAGGUACAUGCUGAAUGCUGAGACAUAUAUACGUUGUGUGAGGCAGAGGUUAAAUGCUCUGUAAAUAAAGAGAGACAACAAGGAUUGGUGAGUUUAUGAUCCCACUUUCGUACUGUUUUUAUACAAAAACAACAAUGAGCGGCAUAUGUACUUCUCAUCCAAUUAGUUUUCUAGCACGUAAAUGUAACUAUUUCUUCAUGCACAUGAGAAAGACAAAUAUUAGUUCCUACAUGUUUGAGGAUAUGUAUAACCAUACUAUGGAAUGCAGUUGUGCCGAGGAGGAACGAGGAUGAGAGAUGUGUCUUGCUAGACAUAUUAGCAAAUUCUUAAUUCAUUUGAUUACAUUCAUGAGUAUUAUUCUAUUCCAACAUACGGGCUUUGUUCAGUGCAUAUACAGAUAUACUAUCUUAUAGAAAUAUGUUGUUCAAGGAUGAAGAGGUGGAUAAGUUUGUGGCUUUACUUACUGAAUGUCCAGAUCUGUCUUGCUUCUCAGUCAAGGCCUACAUUUAGAGUAUACAUAUUCAUAUGUAAGUGAUUUAAGGUCAAUUACCUCCCCCUGUUGUAAUGCUCAUCAUCUUAAUUCAGACAUUGUUAUAUAUAUGCACCAUGGUUCACGACUAUACUUUUUUCCGUAGGGCCUAUGCAAAUCCAUUUGGAACAGUGUUACUAUUUUACAUUUUGCUACAAAAAGUUGUGUGCUGCAGGUGUCUAUACACGGGAACCAAAGAAGGCAACUCGGCAGUUUCUCCCUGCCCUAAUCAAGAUUCACAAUGAUAGGAGGGCACAGAGAUCAUGCUGCCAUGGAAUCCAUCCAUUUUCAUUGCCUUGCUGCUUUCUAGCUUGUUUCUUGAUAUUCAAUAGCCAUAUACCUUUAGGACUUGGGAUGCGAUUUCACAUGCAUCGCGUAGCUGAUGCUUUUGCCGGUUCAUGAUGAGCUAUUUUUGUGUAAAGCUGCUAUUGGCCGUGGAAAGACUAGCUAUGCAUGGCUCAGUUUUAUUGAGCUUAGAUGAAAAUUUGAGUGAACCGACUAAAUUCAUACAAAAAAGGGGCCAAGUACAACCCCAAAUUAGAGACUAGAUGGGAUGCCCAUCCUGGUCACUAUACUAUUAGACUUACAAUCUCGAACGGCUACCUGUAUUUUUUAAUUUGUUUGUGGACCUGGAAUGGCCAUUAUUUGGGCAUAGGACAUGCCAGCAUGUUUUCUGAAAGUUGUAGGAGAGGCAUGCUAUUUAAAAUGGAUAGAUUGCAAAAAAAAUUGUACCUCCAUUGGUCAGGACCUGACCAUGGAAGAAUGAACAGUAAAUGUUGUCAAAUGAACUACAUUG
rnacentral:lncRNA from 1 species